CACCGGCUCACACUUAGAAUUUAAAAAGGACAAAAUCGCCGAAGCAAAGGUAUAAAAAAUUUAUUAAACGAAACAGCGCUGAAUCGGGUGCAUCUCAAAGUAGAGGCACCCCAACCCGUUAGCUUUUUGAUGUUUUAUACCCUUAUCCCGGCAGCCUGAGUUACUGUCUCCCUUCUCAUUGCCUGAGAAGUUGGAGCUCACAUUCUUCCCGACCGCCUGACCUAUUAUAGAUAAAGCACAUAUAUCUGUUCUACAAAAUUAUUAUUCUAAACACCCCGCUAUAUGUUUGCCAUCACCUGCUGUCCAAUAUUAGUGGUUACAAGUACUCUGGUGGUCAUAUCUUCAUUAGUUACCCUCCAGGUGGCCUUCGUCCACUUAUCAGUCUCCACUGUCCGUUGUCCACUUCUCACUCUUCACCGUCCGUUGUCCACUUAUCAGUCUGCCACCAAUUUUUGGUUACCCUUCACCUAGAUAACACUUCAGAGUCAAGAACCCCUGGACAGCCCCAAGGCGCCUCCCAGGAUCAGUCGGACACAAGGGAUAGGACUCCACUAUAUCUGAAUUACCUUUAUCAAUACAGACAUGCUAACAGAGAAAAGAAAAAAAUAAUAUAUCAAUUAGCUGAAGCAAAAUUCAGCCUGUUUCUCACAGGGAUGACCUCGGCUCUAGCUGUGACUGUGGUAACUGGGAGUGUUAGUGCUGCCAGGUCCCUCCUGCGCUUGGGGACUCGCUGGAAUACUGAGGAACAGCCCCGUCCUGGCUCCCCGCACAUCGCAGGCUGUAAUCCUCUAAUCCUGCCUCUUGUUGCCCACCCCCUCGGGCCGCUGCUGCUCCCCCCACAAGCCCUCACCCCCUGGAGCCAGAUGAGCUGGAGGGUGAACCCCACUGUGCUACCUGGCGCCAGUGGCAGAGGGCAAUCAGAAGAGUGCCCUGACACCAGGCAGGAGGCUUUUAUCCAAUGGUAGGAUGAAUACUUUUACCAAAUAAAAAAGCUGGCUCUGUUCUCUGCCA
rnacentral:lncRNA from 1 species